ACGGGUAUGGUGCAAUGGUAGCAUUCCGGUCUCCAAAACCGUCGAUGGGAGUUCGAAUCUCUCUACCCGUGCAA
rnacentral:tRNA from 1 species